GGGCGUAAGAGCUCGUAGGCGGCUUGUCACGUCGGGUGUGAAAGCCCGGGGCUUAACCCCGGGUCUGCAUUCGAUACGGGCUAGCUAGAGUGUGGUAGGGGAGAUCGGAAUUCCUGGUGUAGCGGUGAAAUGCGCAGAUAUCAGGAGGAACACCGGUGGCGAAGGCGGAUCUCUGGGCCAUUACUGACGCUGAGGAGCGAAAGCGUGGGGAGCGAACAGGAUUAGAUACCCUGGUAGUCCACGCCGUAAACGGUGGGAACUAGGUGUUGGCGACAUUCCACGUCGUCGGUGCCGCAAAUAACGCAUUAAGUUCCCCGCC
rnacentral:rRNA from 1 species